rnacentral:lncRNA from 1 species
GGCCGGCGGACGCCAUCGCUGCACCCCCUGCCCCGGCCCGGCCCGGCCCGGCAGCCGCCACCGCCUCCUCCCUCCUCUGCGCGCACGCCCACGGCCACGGCCACAGCUGCCCCGCCUCCGCCCGAGAAGGAGGGGGACGGGGGGAGGAGGAGGGGCCUCAGGAGUCCGGGCUGCUCCCGGAAAAAAACCCUGGGGCCGCUCCCACCUCCGCGCCCCCACCAAUUCCCAUGGGGUCUGGGCGGGGUCAGUUACAGAAGAGGCAACUGAGCUGCCUCAUAGCAGAAGGUGACCUGCCAUCUUUUGGGUUCCAUCCUCUUGAAUAUUGCUGGAAAGGAAGCCAGGCCAAACGCCCCUGAAGGUGUUGUUUAUCCCUAGAGGACUGGCCACCAGGUGAUCAUUUUGUCUUCAAAACAACAACUCAUGGAGGUCGCUGUCCUCUGCAUUGGUAGAAGAAGGGCCCACCUUGAUGAAAUCCUUACAGUUAAACAAAGAUCAUGGCUAACGAGGAGAGCGGGCAUUACAAGUUCAUCUAUGAAAGCGACACAAAAUCGGUUGUCGCAGAGCUAAGAGCGUCUUCCAUCUCAUGCAGAGUUUUUUCUGCAUUGAUCAAGCUGGCACAUUUGAUUAACAUGCAGACUUGCAAGAAUCAAUCAAGACAGUACUGAGCUAUUUUCUCUCUUUGCAAAUCGAAUUUUCAUUGUUUUUGAAGAGAGAUCUUUUGCCCUUUAAAGACAUUGCUUGAAGAAGAAUAAAUUAGGUAUUGAGAUUUCUGAGCUAUUACUU